rnacentral:rRNA from 1 species
UACGUAGGCAGCGAGCGUUGUUCGGAGUUACUGGGCGUAAAGGGUGCGUAGGCGGUUGUUUAAGUUUGGUGUGAAAUCUCCCGGCUCAACUGGGAGGGUGCGCCGAAUACUGAAUGACUAGAGUGCGGGAGAGGAUAGUGGAAUUCCUGGUGUAGCGGUGAAAUGCGUAGAUAUCAGGAGGAAUACCGAUGGCGAAGGCAGGUCUCUGGGCUGACUCUGACGCUCAUGCACGAAAGCGUGGGGAGCAAACAGG